AGUUUGAUCCUGGCUCAGAUUGAACGCUGGCGGCAUGCCUUACACAUGCAAGUCGAACGGCAGCACGGGUGCUUGCACCUGGUGGCGAGUGGCGAACGGGUGAGUAAUACAUCGGAACAUGUCCUGUAGUGGGGGAUAGCCCGGCGAAAGCCGGAUUAAUACCGCAUACGAUCUACGGAUGAAAGCGGGGGACCUUCGGGCCUCGCGCUAUAGGGUUGGCCGAUGGCUGAUUAGCUAGUUGGUGGGGUAAAGGCCUACCAAGGCGACGAUCAGUAGCUGGUCUGAGAGGACGACCAGCCACACUGGGACUGAGACACGGCCCAGACUCCUACGGGAGGCAGCAGUGGGGAAUUUUGGACAAUGGGCGAAAGCCUGAUCCAGCAAUGCCGCGUGUGUGAAGAAGGCCUUCGGGUUGUAAAGCACUUUUGUCCGGAAAGAAAUCCUUGGUUCUAAUAUAGCCGGGGGAUGACGGUACCGGAAGAAUAAGCACCGGCUAACUACGUGCCAGCAGCCGCGGUAAUACGUAGGGUGCGAGCGUUAAUCGGAAUUACUGGGCGUAAAGCGUGCGCAGGCGGUUUGCUAAGACCGAUGUGAAAUCCCCGGGCUCAACCUGGGAACUGCAUUGGUGACUGGCAGGCUAGAGUAUGGCAGAGGGGGGUAGAAUUCCACGUGUAGCAGUGAAAUGCGUAGAGAUGUGGAGGAAUACCGAUGGCGAAAGCA
rnacentral:rRNA from 1 species